UUAAAUUGAAGAGUUUGAUCAUGGCUCAGAUUGAACGCUGGCGGCAGGCCUAACACAUGCAAGUCGAACGGUAACAGGAAGCAGCUUGCUGCUUCGCUGACGAGUGGCGGACGGGUGAGUAAUGUCUGGGAAACUGCCUGAUGGAGGGGGAUAACUACUGGAAACGGUAGCUAAUACCGCAUAAUGUCGCAGGACCAAAGAGGGGGACCUUCGGGCCUCUUGCCAUCAGAUGUGCCCAGAUGGGAUUAGCUUGUUGGUGAGGUAACGGCUCACCAAGGCGACGAUCCCUAGCUGGUCUGAGAGGAUGACCAGCCACACUGGAACU
rnacentral:rRNA from 1 species